UACGUAGGGCGCGAGCGUUGUCCGGAAUUAUUGGGCGUAAAGAGCUCGUAGGCGGCCUGUUGCGUCCGCUGUGAAAGCCCGGGGCUUAACCCCGGGUCGGCAGUGGAUACGGGCAGGCUAGAGGUAGGUAGGGGAGAAUGGAAUUCCCGGUGUAGCGGUGAAAUGCGCAGAUAUCUGGAGGAAUACCGGUGGCGAAGGCGGCAUCCUGGACCGGCAUUGACGCUGAUGAGCGAAAGCGAGGGGAGCAAACAGG
rnacentral:rRNA from 1 species